rnacentral:tRNA from 1 species
GCCCUUGUAGUAUAAACCAAUACACCGGUCUUGUAAACCGGAAACGGAUACCCCUCCCCAGGGCA